UCCUGUGGCUCCCUUGGCAAUAGCAGAGCUGCCAGGACCUUUAAAUGGAAUUAUGUUUCAAUACCACAUAACACGUUCUGAGCGGACAAUGGAGAUCGCUGGGGCAACGGAAGCUUCCUCAGGGAAUGGAACACGAAAGGGGCGGCCCUGGGUAAACUCUCUUAACAAUGUACAGUCGAGGAAGUGAUUAAUAUGGGAAAUUGGCCUAGCUGGAUCAAAGCGGCUGCCGUCCUCAUGCCAGCAGUCUCCCAAUGACCAUGACUCAGCGGAAUCAUGUCCCAGAACAAGGACAUAGGACACCGAGCCUCUGUAAUCAGGUGAUACGGCUGCAGCGGGCCGGGAGGCAGAGGAGUGUUCGGAGACGGUGAAGGGGAAGGCAGGCCGGCCGGGGAGGACACCCAACACCCCGGCCCUGAGAAGGCAGGCCGGCCGGGGAGGACACCCAACACCCCGGCCCUGAGAAGGCAGGCCGGCCGGGGAGGACACCCAACACCCCGGCCCUGAGAGAGCCAUGAGCCGGGGCCUUUCAUUCACCACCAGCGGCUCUCUCAGCGCCACAGAAAGAUCACAUGUCAGGGCAGGGUCCUCAUCUGCCUAGAGUGGCGAGGAGAGACGAACCAGGGAAAAACUCCCGCGUCUGGAAAAGAAGAAACAACCCACCCCCCCAUUGUCUUUUCUUGGCUUAGCGAAGCCUACAGGUCGGACUAUGAAGAAAGGCGGCCCCUGGAAACGACGGACCGGCAUUCCUGCGACAAAGUCCUCCCGGCUGCUCGUCGCCAUUCUGCUGGGACUCAUCGUCCUCUUCAUCUACUUCCACGUAAUCCUGUCCUUCCCGUGGUGAC